rnacentral:rRNA from 1 species
UACGAAGGGGGCUAGCGUUGCUCGGAAUUACUAGGCGUAAAGCGCACGUAGGCGGCUUGUUAAGUCGGGGGUGAAAUCCUGGAGCUCAACUCCAGAACUGCCUUCGAUACUGGCGAGCUCGAGUUCGGGAGAGGUGAGUGGAACUGCGAGUGUAGAGGUGAAAUUCGUAGAUAUUCGCAAGAACACCAGUGGCGAAGGCGGCUCACUGGCCCGAUACUGACGCUGAGGUGCGAAAGCGUGGGGAGCAAACAGG